rnacentral:rRNA from 1 species
AUUGAACGCUGGCGGCAGGCCUAACACAUGCAAGUCGAACGAGUGGCGGACGGGUGAGUAAUGUCUGGGAAACUGCCCGAUGGAGGGGGAUAACUACUGGAAACGGUAGCUAAUACCGCAUACCAUCGGAUGUGCACAGAGGGGAUUAGCUUGUAGGUGAGGUAACGGCUCACCUAGGCGACGAUCCCUAGCUGGUGUGAGAGGAUGACCAGCCACACUGGGACUGAGACACGGCCCAGACUCCUACGUGAGGCAGCAGUGGGGAAUAUUGCAGAGUGGGCGCAAGCCUGAUGCAGCCAUGCCGCGUGGAUGAAGAAGGCCUUCGGGUUGGAAAGUACUUUCAGCGGGGAGGCGGUACCCGCAGAAGAAGCACCGGCUAACUCCGUGCCAGCAGCCGCGGUAAUUC